GGUUUCUCUGUGUAGCCCUGGCUGUCCUGGAACUCACUCUGAGAAAUCCACCUGCCUCUGCCUCCCGAGUGCUGGGAUUAAAGGCAUGCGCCACCAUGCCCG
ensembl:miRNA Gm25731 predicted gene, 25731